GUAGGGAGCAAGCGUUGUUCGGAUUUACUGGGCGUAAAGGGCGCGUAGGCGGAGUGUCAAGUCGAUUGUGAAAUCUCCGGGCUUAACUCGGAACGGCCAAUCGAUACUGACGUGCUAGAGUGCAGAAAGGGCAAUCGGAAUUCUUGGUGUAGCGGUGAAAUGYGUAGAUAUCAAGAGGAACACCUGAGGCGAAGGCGGGUUGCUAGGCUGACACUGACGCUGAGUGCGCGAAAGCCAGGGGAGCAAACGGGAUUAGAUACCCCGGUAGUCCUGGCCCUAAACGAUGAAUACUUGGUGUCUGGAGUUUUUUCGCUCCGGGUGCCGUCGCUAACGUUUUUAGUAUUCCGCCUGGGGAGUACGCUCGCAAGAGUG
rnacentral:rRNA from 1 species